UGAGUGCGAGCUUCUACGGAAGCGAAGUUGGUGACGUCAAGCUUCCAAGAAAAGCCCUAUACCCGUUAAGGCAUGAUUACCUGUACCCGAAACCGACACAGGUGGGGUGGUAGAGAAUACCGAGGGGCGCGAGGUAACUCUCUCUAAGGAACUCGGCAAAAUGACCCCGUAACUUCGGGAGAAGGGGUGCCAGCGCGAGCUGGUCGCAGUGAAUAGGCCCAGGCGACUGUUUACCAAAAACACAGGUCUCCGCUAAGUCGCAAGACGAUGUAUGGGGGCUGACGCCUGCCCAGUGCCGGAAGGUUAAAGAAGUUGGUCAGCGCAAGCGAAGCUAACGACUGAAGCCCCGGUGAACGGCGGCCGUAACUAUAACGGUCCUAAGGUAGCGAAAUUCCUUGUCGGGUAAGUUCCGACCCGCACGAAAGGCGUAACGAUCUGGGCGCUGUCUCGGAGAGAGGCUCGGCGAAAUAGAAUUGUCUGUGAAGAUGCGGACUACGUGCACCCGGACAGAAAGACCCUAUGAAGCUUUACUGUAGCUUGGUAUUGUGCUCGGGCUCGCAAUGCGCAGGAUAGGUGGGAGGCUUUGAUCCAUUGCUUGUGGGUGAUGGUGAGCCACUGGUGAGAUACCACUCUUUGCGAGCUAGGGUUCUAACGGUUACCCGUCAUCCGGGAACCGGACAGUAUCUGGUGGGCAGUUUGACUGGGGCGGUCGCCUCCUAAAAGGUAACGGAGGCGCGCAAAGGUUUGCUCAGGCUGGUUGGAAAUCAGCCGACGAGUGUAAAAGCAGAAGCAAGCUUGACUGUGAGACCUACAAGUCGAACAGGGAGGAAACUCGGCUUUAGUGAUCCGACGGUUCUGAGUGGAAGGGCCGUCGCUCAACGGAUAAAAGUUACUCUAGGAUAACAGGCUGAUCUCCCCCAAGAGUUCACAUCGACGGGGAGGUUUGGCACCUCGAUGUCGGCUCAUCGCAACCUGGGGCUGAAGUCGGUCCCAAGGGUUGGGCUGUUCGCCCAUUAAAGCGGUACGCGAGCUGGGUUCAGAACGUCGUGAGACAGUUCGGUCCAUAUCCGGUGCAUGCGCAGGAAUAUUGAGAGGAUUUCUCCCUAGUACGAGAGGACCGGGAGGAACGCACCUCUGGUGUACCAGUUAUCGUGCCAACGGUAAACGCUGGGUAGCCAUGUGCGGAGUGGAUAACCGCUGAAAGCAUCUAAGUGGGAAGCCCACCUCAAGAUGAGUAUUCCCAUGGCUUAAGCCAGUAAGGUCACGGGAAGAACACCCGUUGAUAGGCUCUAUGUGGAAGCGCAGUAAUGCGUGAAGCAGAGGAGUACUAAUAGACCGAGGGCUUGAC
rnacentral:rRNA from 1 species